UUAUUUUUUAAUAAUUAAUUUUUAUAUAAUUUUUAUAUAGUUAAUAUUUUAGUUAUUUAUAGGAAUAAAUAUUAUAAUAUAAUAAUAUUUUAAUAAUGAUAAAAUAAGUAUUUUAUAUAUAUAAAAUAUAGUAACUCGGCAAAUAUUAUUUUCGCCUGUUUAACAAAAACAUGGUCUUUUGUUUAUAUAAAAGAUCUAACCUGCCCUAUGAUUUAUUUAAAUGGCUGCAGUAUUUUGACUGUACAAAGGUAGCAUAAUCAUUUGUCUUUUAAUUGAAGGCUUGUAUGAAUGGUCGGAUGAAAAAUAUACUUUCUUUAUUUUAUAUAAAAAAUUUAAUUUUCUAGUCAAAAAGCUAGGAUUUUUUUAUAGGACGAGAAGACCCUAUAGAACUUUAUUUUCUUUUUUUAUAAACUUUAUAGAUAAAUAUAAGUUUAUAUAUUUUUGUUAAUUUUGUUGGGGUGAUUGAAAAAAUUUUUUAACUUUUUCUAUUUUUUACAUUUAUAUAUGUUUUUUUGAUCCUUUAUUAUGGAAUAAAAGAUUAAGUUACCUUAGGGAUAACAGCGUUAUUUUUUUGGAGAGUUCUUAUCGAUAAAAAAGUUUGCGACCUCGAUGUUGG
rnacentral:rRNA from 1 species